CACCUGACCCCAUGCCGAACUCAGAAGUGAAACGCCGUAGUGCCGAUGGUAGUGUGGGGUCUCCCCAUGCGAGAGUAGGGAACUGCCAGGC
rnacentral:rRNA from 1 species